rfam:Salmo salar isolate Sally breed double haploid chromosome ssa09, whole genome shotgun sequence.
UGGCUCAGUUGGUAGAGCAUGGUGUUUGCAACGCCAGGGUUGUGGGUUCAAAUCCCAC